rnacentral:rRNA from 1 species
AUUGAACGCUGGCGGCAGGCCUAACACAUGCAAGUCGAACGGUAACAGGAAGCAGCUUGCUGCUUUGCUGACGAGUGGCGGACGGGUGAGUAAUGUCUGGGAAACUGCCCGAUGGAGGGGGAUAACUACUGGAAACGGUAGCUAAUACCGCAUAACGUCGCAAGACCAAAGAGGGGGACCUUAGGGCCUCUUGCCAUCGGAUGUGCCAAGAUGGGAUUAGCUAGUAGGUGGGGUAACGGCUCACCUAGGCGACGAUCCCUAGCUGGUCUGAGAGGAUGACCAGCCACACUGGAACUGAGACACGGUCCAGACUCCUACGGGAGGCAGCAGUGGGGAAUAUUGCACAAUGGGCGCAAGCCUGAUGCAGCCAUGCCGCGUGUAUGAAGAAGGCCUUCGGGUUGUAAAGUACUUUCAGCGGGGAGGAAGGGAGUAAAGUUAAUACCUUUGCUCAUUGACGUUACCCGCAGAAGAAGCACCGGCUAACUCCGUG